rnacentral:rRNA from 1 species
AUCCCGAUGUACAGGAAGGAGGCAUCUUCUUUCUGUGAAACAUCCUUUAGGGGAUGGGGCGCGGAUGGACCCGCGGUGCAUUAGUUGGUUGGCGGGGUAAAGGCCCACCAAGACGAUGAUGCAUAGCCGGCCUGAGAGGGCGGACGGCCACAUUGGGACUGAGACACGGCCCAGACUCCUGCGGGAGGCAGCAGUAGGGAAUUUUCGUCAAUGGGCGCAAGCCUGAACGAGCGAUGCCGCGUGAGUGAAGAAGGCCUUCGGGUCGUAAAGCUCUGUUGCGGGGGAAAAAAGGCAGCAUCAGGAAAUGGGUGCUGACUGAUGGUGCCCCGCCAGAAAGUCACGGCUAACUACGUGCCAGCAGCCGCGGUAAUACGUAGGUGGCGAGCGUUAUCCGGAAUGAUUGGGCGUAAAGGGUGCGCAGGCGGUCCUGCAAGUCUGGAGUGAAACGCAUGAGCUCAACUCAUGCAUGGCUUUGGAAACUGGAGGACUGGAGAGCAGGAGAGGGCGGUGGAACUCCAUGUGUAGCGGUAAAAUGCGUAGAUAUAUGGAAGAACACCAGUGGCGAAGGCGGCCGCCUGGCCUGUUGCUGACGCUGAGGCACGAAAGCGUGGGGAGCAAAUAGAAUUAGAUACCCUAGUAGUCCACGCCGUAAACGAU